UACGUAGGGUGCAAGCGUUAAUCGGAAUUACUGGGCGUAAAGCGUGCGCAGGCGGCUUUGCAAGACAGAUGUGAAAUCCCCGGGCUUAACCUGGGAACUGCAUUUGUGACUGCAAGGCUAGAGUACGGUAGAGGGGGGUGGAAUUCCGCGUGUAGCAGUGAAAUGCGUAGAUAUGCGGAGGAACACCGAUGGCGAAGGCAAUCCCCUGGACCUGUACUGACGCUCAUGCACGAAAGCGUGGGGAGCAAACAGG
rnacentral:rRNA from 1 species